AUGGAAAAGAAAUGCAAAAAAGCAAAAUGGCUGUCUGGGGAAGCCUCACAAAUACCUGUGAAAAGAAGAGAAGUGAAAAGCCAAGGAGAAAAGGAAAGAUAUAAGCAUCUGAAUGCAGAGUUCCAAAGAAUAGCAAGAAGAGAUAAGAAAGCCUUCCUCAGGGAUCAAUGCAAAGAAAUAGAGGAAAACAACAGAAUGGGAAAGACUAGAGAUCUCUUCAAGAAAAUUAAAGACAACAAGGGAACAUUUCAUGCAAAGAUGGGCUCGAUAAAGGACAGAAAUGGUAUGGACCUAACAGAAGCAGAAGAUAUUAAGAAGAGGUGGCAAGAAUACACAGAAGAACUGUACAAAAAGGAUCUUCACGACCAAGAUAAUUACGAUGGUGUGAUCACUCAUCUAGAGCCAGACAUCUUGGAAUGUGAAGUCAAGUGGGCCUUAGAAAGCAUCACUACGAACAAAGCUAGUGGAGGUGAUGGACUUCCAGUAGAGCUAUUUCAAAUCCUGAAACAUGAUGCUGUGAAAGUGCUGCACUCAAUAUGCCAGCAAAUAUGGAAAACUCAGCGGUGGCCACAGGACUGGAAAAGGUCAGUGUUCAUUCCAAUCCCAAAGAAGGGCAAUGCCAAAGAAUGCUCAAACUACCACACAAUUGCACUCAUCUCACAUGCUGGUAAAGUAAUGCUCAAAAUUCUCCAAGCCAGGCUUCAGCAAUACGUGAACCGUGAACUCCCUGAUGUUCAAGCUGGUUUUAGAAAAGGCAGAGGAACCAGAGAUCAAAUUGCCAACAUCCCCUGGAUCAUGGAAAAAGCAAGAGAGUUCCAGAAAAACAUCUAUUUCUGCUUUAUUGACUAUGCCAAAGCCUUUGACUGUGUGGAUCAUAAUAAGCUGUGGAAAAUUCUGAAAGAGAUGGGAAUACCAGACCACCUGACCUGCCUCUUGAGAAAUCUGUAUGCAGGCCAGGAAGCAACAGUUAGAACUGGACAUGGAACAACAGACUGGUUCCAAAUCGGAAAAGGAGUGCGUCAAGGCUGUAUAUUGUCACUCUGCUUAUUUAACUUAUAUGCAGAGUACAUCAUGAGAAACGCUGGACUGGAAGAAACACAAGCUGGAAUCAAGAUUGCUGGGAGAAAUAUCAAUAACCUCAGAUAUGCAGAUGACUCCACCCUUAUGGCAGAAAGUGAAGAGGAACUAAAAAGCCUCCUGAUGAAAGUGAAAGAGGAGAGCAAAAACGUUGGCUUAAAGCUCAACAUUCAGAAAACGAAGAUCAUGGCAUCCAGUCCCAUCACUCCAUGGGAAAUAGAUGGGGAAACAGUGGAAACAGUGGCAGACUUUAUUGUUUUGGGCUCCAAAAUCACUGCAGUUGGUGAUUUCAGCCAUGAAAUUAAAAGACGCUUACUCCUUGGAAGAAAAGUUAUGAUCAACCUAGAUAGCGUAUUGAAAAGCAGAGACAUUACUUUGCCAACUAAGGUCCGUCUAGUCAAGGCUAUGGUUUUUCCAGUGGUCAUGUAUGGAUGUGAGAGUUGGACUGUGAUGAAGGCUGAGCACAGAAGAAUUGAUGCUUUUUAA
rnacentral:lncRNA from 1 species